UGUUGGUUUUGAAGUUGUUAUACCCUUUGUAGCCACUUUGGUUGUUGUUGAUGUAGCUGACUUCUUCCAACUGGUUACCCUCCCCAUCUUGGACUUGAUACUUCUCGUCAUCAACAAGGAAGUGCACAUGCUUCUACUGGCUAAGAAGAAUCAUGUCCAGCUUGUCAUUCAGCGCUUGGAUCUCCUUCCUGUGUUUGUCAUCAGAGUCAGUUGUGCUUCUGACGGUCCUAUCGCAGUCCUCGUUGUAAUUACCAUUUGAUUGAGCCAGGUUCUCAACCAAUUCCCAGCCUUCUUCAACAUCUUUGUUAU
rnacentral:sRNA from 1 species